CCUACGGGGGGCAGCAGUAAGGAAUAUUGGUCAAUGGAGGCAACUCUGAACCAGCCAUGCCGCGUGCAGGAUGAAGGGCUAUGCGUCGUAAAUCUUGAAAACUUACACAGUAGUAUGGUAAGAAUAAGGAUCGGCUAACUUCGUGCCAGCAGCCGCGGUAAGACGAAGGAUCCAAGCGUUAUCCGGAUUCAUUGGGUUUAAAGGGUGCGUAGGCGGGUUUGUAAGUCAGUGGUGAAAUCCUAUCGCUUAACGAUGGAACUGCCAUUGAUACUGCAAGCCUAGAGUACAGAUGAUGUUGGCGGAAUAUGACAUGUAGCGGUGAAAUGCAUAGAUAUGUCAUAGAACACCGAUUGCGAAGGCAGCUGACAAAACUGUACUGACGCUGAUGCACGAAAGUGCGGGGAUCAAACAGGAUUAGAUACCCUUGUAGUC
rnacentral:rRNA from 1 species